UUGGAGGGCAAGUCUGGUGCCAGCAGCCGCGGUAAUUCCAGCUCCAAUAGCGUAUAUUAAAGUUGCUGCAGUUAAAAAGCUCGUAGUUGAAUUUCGGGAUCAAUACGUCGGUCGUGCUUCGGUACGUACUGGCGUAAUUGAUUUCUCCCUUCUGACGAACCAUGAUGUCAUUAACUUGGUGUCAUGGGAAAUCAGGACUGUUACUUUGAAAAAAUUAGAGUGUUUAAAGCAGGCUCACGCUUGAAUACAUUAGCAUGGAAUAAUGAAAUAGGACGUUCGAUCCUAUUUUGUUGGUUUUUAGGAUCAACGUAAUGAUUAAUAGGGAUAGUUGGGGGCAUUAGUAUUCAAUUGUCAGAGGUGAAAUUCUUGGAUUUAUUGAAGACUAACUACUGCGAAAGCAUUUGCCAAGGAUGUUUUCAUUAAUCAAGAACGAAAGUUAGGGGAUCGAAGACGAUCAGAUACCGUCGUAGUCUUAACCAUAAACUAUGCCGACUAGGGAUCGGAUGAUGUUAAUUUUUUAAUGACUCAUUCGGCGCCUUACGGGAAAC
rnacentral:rRNA from 1 species